GUGUCCGAUGCUUUUCCGAAACUAGGGUGGUUUGAUUUUCAAGGACAUGAGAAGGAGAUGAAGCAAAC
rnacentral:sRNA from 1 species